rnacentral:rRNA from 1 species
GAUGAACGCUGGCGGCGUGCUUAACACAUGCAAGUCGAACGGAAAGGCCCAAGCUUGCUUGGGUACUCGAUUGGCGAACGGGUGAGUAACACGUGGGGGAACUGCCCUUCACUUCGGGAGAAACCUGGGAAACUGGGGCUCAUACCGGAUAUGACGUUGGGUUGGAUGCCAUUGUGGACAGUUUUUUCGGUGUGGGAUGAGCUCGCGGCGUAUCAGCUUGUUGGUGGGGUAAUGGCCGACGAAGGCGUCGCCGGGGGGCCGGCCAGAGAGGAUGUGAGGCAAGAUUCAGACUGAGAUGCGACGCAGAAGUCUACGGGAGGCAGCAGUGGGCGAUAGGGGAACAGGGGAGCACGGCUGAUGCAGCGACGCCGCGUGGGGGGUGACAGCCUUCUGGUUGUAAACUACUUACGCUAGGGAAGAUGCGUAUUUGUGACGGUACCUGGAUAAGAAGCACCGGGCUAAUACGGGG